UUCGGCUAGGGGGUCAUCCCGACUUACCAACCCGAUGCAAACUACGAAUACCGAAGAAUGUUAUCACGGGAGACACACGGCGGGUGCUAACGUCCGUCGUGAAGAGGGAAACAACCCAGACCGCCAGCUAAGGUCCCAAAGUCAUGGUUAAGUGGGAAACGAUGUGGGAAGGCACAGACAGCCAGGAUGUUGGCUUAGAAGCAGCCAUCAUUUAAAGAAAGCGUAAUAGCUCACUGGUCGAGUCGGCCUGCGCGGAAGAUGU
rnacentral:rRNA from 1 species